UGCCGGCCCUCGAGUGCAAAGGUAGAAGGGAGCUUGACUGCAAGACCCAAGCAGGGACGAAAGUCGGCGUUAGUGAUCCGACGGUGCCGAGUAGAAGGGACGUCGCUCAA
rnacentral:ncRNA from 1 species